rnacentral:rRNA from 1 species
GUGUUCCUACGGGGGGAGCAGUGGGGAAUAUUGGGCAAUGGGCGCAAGCCUGACCCAGCAACGCCGCGUGAAGGAAGAAGGCUUUCGGGUUGUAAACUUCUUUUCUUGGGGACGAAGAAAGUGACGGUACCCAAGGAAUAAGCCACGGCUAACUACGUGCCAGCAGCCGCGGUAAUACGGAGGAUGCGAGCGUUAUCCGGAUUUAUUGGGUUUAAAGGGUGCGCAGGCGGUCUGUUAAGUCAGCGGUCAAAGCCCGGGGCUCAACCCCGGCCCGCCGUUGAAACUGGCAGUCUCGAGUUGGAGAG